rnacentral:lncRNA from 1 species
GCAGAACAUGGAAAUGACUUUCUAAAAAGGAUUUGAAACAGCUGAGAGCAACAUAAACAGCAGGUUAAAAGAUGAAACAAAUAUGUCGGUUUCCUAAUUCACAGAAUGAGGAUAAGAUCUGCUUUAUCAAAUGUUUGUGAGAGUUAACUGAAGUAAUAGAGGUGAAAUGCCUGGCAAUUUCACGUCAUUGAUGCUGCUGAUGAGGAAUUGCUCAUUACCCUGGUCUGCCUUCAGCAAGAAUCCUAUUAGAUCAGAGCAUCUCAAAGUUUAAUCUGCAAAGGAAACACCUGGAGAUCUCUUAACAUGCAGAUUCUGAUUCUGUAGAACUGGGGCUUCCUGGGAUUCUGCAUUUCUAACAAGUUCCCAGCGGGAACAAGUGAUGCUGCUGGUCCUUGGGCCAUACUUUGAGCAACCAGGUAAUGAUUGAUGAGACUGGGUUUAGAGAUUAACCACAUUUCUAGGAAGUAGCAGAGUAUGUAUUAAAACCCAAGUUAGCUUGACUUCAAGGUCACUGCCUCAAUAUCUAACAAAAUGACACACGCAUUUGCCUUUUGAUCCAGCGAUCCCAAUUCUAAAAAUCUGUGAAGAUUUACUUUCAAAAUAUAAAAAACAUGUAAGUACAAGAUAAGGCACUGCAGCAUGAUUUGUGAUAGUAAAAUACUGGAAACAACCUGAAUGCUCAUACACAGGUGAAUGUUCAUUCACCUAUGUCCGUACAAUGAAGUACUAUGCAGCUGGAACAAAGAAUGAGGAAGAUCUCUAUGACCUGAGCUGGAGUGAUGUCCAGGAUCUGCUGAUGAGUGAAUAAAGCAAAAUGAAAAAGAAUAUAUAGUAUGCUAUUCCUUUUGGGAAAAACAAAGGGAUAUACAAAAAUACAUAUGUGUCUCCUCCUUCAGUGCAAAAGAAAUACAGGAAGGAUAAUCCAGAAACUAAGAUGGUUGAGUAUCUGCUGGGAAUGGGAUGAGAGUGAUGAGGAGAGAGCAACACUUUCUGAAUAUACCAUUUUGUAUAGCUCUGGCUCUUAGAAAUAUAAUGAUAUUAGGCUGGCCACGGUGGCUCAUGC